UGGCUCAGCGGUUAAGAGCACUGGAUCAUCUUCCAGAGGUCCUGGGGUCAAUUCCCAG
rnacentral:tRNA from 1 species